GACAACGCUGGCGGCGUGCCUAACACAUGCAAGUCGAGCGGAGAUGAUGUGAGGAAGUUUUCGGAUGGAAUCACAUUAUUUUAGCGGCGGACGGGUGAGUAACGCGUGAGCGACCAACCUUGCACAGGGGGAUAACGGACCGAAAGGUUCACUAAUACCGCAUGAGACCACGGUGUUGCAUGACACAGGGGUCAAAGGAGCAAUCCGGUGCAAGACGGGCUCGCGUCCGAUUAGGUAGUUGGAGGGGUAACGGCCCACCAAGCCUAUGAUCGGUAGCCGACCUGAGAGGGUGAUCGGCCACAUUGGAACUGAGAUACGGUCCAAACUCCUACGGGAGGCAGCAGUGGGGAAUAUUGGGCAAUGGGGGAAACCCUGACCCAGCAACGCCGCGUGAAGGAAGAAGGUUUUCGGAUUGUAAACUUCUGUCCUUGGUGAAGAGAAGAAGACGGUAGCCAAGGAGGAAGCCCCGGCUAACUACGUG
rnacentral:rRNA from 1 species